UAGGCUUAACACGUGCAAGUCGAGGGGCAGCAUAUAGAUUGCUUGCAAUUUAUGAUGGCGACCGGCGCACGGGUGAGUAACGCGUAUCCAACCUACCCAUUACUAGGGAAUAACCCAGCGAAAGUUGGCCUAAUGCCCUAUGUAGUCGUUUGAUCGCCUGAGAUUUCGACGAAAGAUUUAUCGGUAUUGGAUGGGGAUGCGUCUGAUUAGCUUGUUGGCGGGGUAAAGGCCCACCAAGGCAACGAUCAGUAGGGGUUCUGAGAGGAAGGUCCCCCACAUUGGAACUGAGACACGGUCCAAACUCCUACGGGAGGCAGCAGUGAGGAAUAUUGGUCAAUGGGCGAGAGCCUGAACCAGCCAAGUAGCGUGCAGGAUGACGGCCCUAUGGGUUGUAAACUGCUUUUAUAUGGGAAUAAAGUGAGGGACGUGUCCCUUAUUGCAUGUACCAUACGAAUAAGGACCGGCU
rnacentral:rRNA from 1 species